rnacentral:rRNA from 1 species
UACGUAGGGGGCGAGCGUUGUCCGGAGUUACUGGGCGUAAAGGGCGUGUAGGCGGUUGGACAAGUCUGGUGUGAAAUGCCAUGGCUCAACUAUGGCGCUGCGCUGGAAACUGUCUGACUGGAGUUCGGUAGGGGCGACUGGAAUUCCCGGUGUAACGGUGAAAUGUGUAGAUAUCGGGAGGAACACCCGUGGCGAAGGCGGGUCGCUGGGCCGCAACUGACGCUGAGACGCGAAAGCGUGGGUAG